rnacentral:rRNA from 1 species
CCUACGGGAGGCAGCAGUGAGGAAUAUUGGUCAAUGGGCGGAAGCCUGAACCAGCCAAGUAGCGUGCAGGAUGACGGCCCUACGGGUUGUAAACUGCUUUUAUACGGGAAUAACGCGCCUUACGUGUAGGGCUUUGCAUGUACCGUAUGAAUAAGGACCGGCUAAUUCCGUUCCAGCAGCCGGGGUAAUACGGAAGGUCCGGGCGUUAUCCGGAUUUAUUGGGUUUAAAGGGAGCGUAGGCCGCAUGUCAAGCGUGCUGUGAAAUGGCCGGGCUCAACCCGGGCCUUGCAGCGCGAACUGGCGUGCUUGAGUCCGCGGAAAGCAGGCGGAAGUCGUCGUGUAGCGGUGAAAUGCUUAGAUAUGACGAAGAACCCCGAUUGCGAAGGCAGCUUGCUGCAGCGGAACUGACGCUGAUGCUCGAAAGCGCGGGGAUCGAACAGGAUUAGAUACCCCAGUAGUC